UGCUUGCUUCGGCAGCACAUUACUAAAGUUGGAACGAUACAGAGAAGAUUAGCGGCCCUGUGCAAGGAUGACAGGCAAAUUUGUGAAGCAUUCCAUAUUUUU